rnacentral:rRNA from 1 species
GACGAACGCUGGCGGCGGGCUUAACACAUGCAAGUCGAACGGAAAGGCCCUGCUGUUGUGGGGUGCUCGAGUGGCGAACGGGUGAGUAACACGUGAGUAACCUGCCCUUUACUUUGGGAUAACUUCAGUAAACUGGGGCUAAUACCGGAUAGGAGCUCCUUCUGCAUGGUGGGGGUUGGAAAGUUUCGGCGGUUGGGGAUGGACUCGCGGCUUAUCAGCUUGUUGGUGGGGUAGUGGCUUACCAAGGCUUUGACGGGUAGCCGGCCUGAGAGGGUGACCGGCCACAUUGGGACUGAGAUACGGCCCAGACUCCUACGGGAGGCAGCAGUGGGGAAUAUUGCACAAUGGGCGGAAGCCUGAUGCAGCAACGCCGCGUGCGGGAUGACGGCCUUCGGGUUGUAAACCGCUUUCGCCUGUGACGAAGCGUGAGUGACGGUAAUGGGUAAAGAAGCACCGGCUAACUACGUG